rnacentral:lncRNA from 1 species
GUGCGGGAUUGGGCGCCGAAAUGGGAUGCCGUGGGGGAGGCUCAUUCCUAGAGUGGGGAUGUUGACUACCACGGGGCCAUUAGGCACGGCGCAGGCCAGACAGCCUUCGGGUGGGUCUUAUAUGAUUGGAACUUAGUGACGUGCUAUGUGAACUUUAAAACUAUUAAAGUGACAAGUGGACUUGGACUAGAAUGGUAAACAAUGACAUUUUACUAUUUACCUUGUGGACAUCAUGAUAGUAGUAGACUUAUACUUCAUGUACAGUUGCUUUUAUACUUAUGCUACUCAUGCUAAGUAGAGAUAUCAUGUCGUAGUAAGUUAUAUUUUUACUUACAUUUCGCCUUACUGCCUUUAUUGUUACUUACCCUUUUCUUUUCAGUUUUUGGGCCUAGUGGUGCAUUCACUGAAGUCAGUAAUCGCCCACUGGGAACUAUUAUUUAAUAGUUCUCACGCCUUCUGUUUGAUGUCUCUUUUUCAGAGCGCUCUGCACCGGCGGAGGCACGGGAUCGUAGCAAGGGGAUCGCUAGCUAGAUAGCAAGGACUUAUUUGCUUUCACCUAGGUGGUUUUCCUCUCUUUUUAUGUUGUGAGAGAUUGAGAGGUUUUGUAUCCACGUAUAGAGACCACCCAUGUAUUUACUUCUAGCACUUGUAUUUGGGUUUUCUCUUUGCAUUACUUUAUGUUUUUAUUUAGUGGUCUAUCGCUUAUGUUCUUUCCUGCAUUGUAGAACUUAGUCAUUUAUUAUGCUUUGAUACUCCUAGAUGUCUUUUAUUAUUGCUUUAUUUAUCGUUUUGUUUUAGACGCCUUAUAUGUUUUAGACGUAUGGCUGGUCUGUGCACGUACCGAAUAUGCUUCCGCUGGUAACCGGGCGUGACACUUAGGUAGGUGAGGAUUUGGAAGAGCUAUGUAUUUUGAGAUGGAAGAUGUAUUCAUUCAAAGAAAAUGAUGUAAAUGAAAAUAUUGGAACUAUUGUAAUAGUUUAGUAAAUUACUCUCUUUAUUUCACAUGUUUUAUCUUGUGGAUUGCUUACUCUUCGUAUUGUUGGCACUGGUUGUGCCCUCGUGAAUGUGUAUGUUUAGAAUUUAAUUUUCUGGGUAAAUUCUUGUGCACAUUCCUGUUGUUGAGCCUUGGGCGGACAGGGGAGGUGCUGUCCGUUCGGCGGCCCGCCGCCGCGGCCGAACCGUGCCAAAUUGGUAGUGGUUUCGGGGCGGGGCGUGACAGCCUUUGUGGUAUCAGAGCCUAAGAGCAAGUAAAGAGAGAGUUUAGGAUGACCUAGGAGACCCUAGGUUGGUAAGCCCUAAGGUUAUAGGUGCGUGAGCGGAACGUGAACCUAUAGCGAUGGCGAAAGUUGAUUCGAUUGGGUCGAAGUUGGUAAUAUGUCUCUAGUUGUGAUUAGAGACGGACUCAAGUUGUAUGAGUUCUUGUCUUGAGGUGGUUAUGNUUGUUUUAGACGCCUUAUAUGUUUUAGACGUAUGGCUGGUCUGUGCACGUGCCGGGCGGGCUUCCGCUGGGGCCCGGGGCGUGACAGAUUAAUUUGGUAUCAGAGCCUAGGGUUGAGUCUUAGGGGACCUAGCAAACCUUAGGCCGGUUGGACUAUAGGAAAUAGGCUCGUGAGAGACGAGGUCUAUUCGACUUGUAAGCGAAGGUAUCUAGAUUGGGUAUCUUUAAUAACUCUAGAAAGUGGAGUUAAAUUGAAGUGUAUAACUCCUAACUUCGCGGAGGGUUACGUUGGCGGCCGACAACGUAACAUCGGGAGUUAGUAGUGUAGGACACUUCUUUACUUUCGCAUGAUUUGGGUACUGCUUAUUGAGCGGGGAUGCGAUAGCGCGGGUUUUACUAACUUGCGCUUUCAUGUUUUGUAGUGAUGAUGCCGAUUACACACUCUCAAUCUGCCGGAGCGGACAAUGCGGCGAACUUUGAAGAGGUUGAGACCUCCGCUACCUCCGGAUCCAGCGAGGUCCGUGAGUUGAGGGGUCAGCUUGCGGCCCUCACUGAUUUAGUCACUCAGCAGGCGGAGGCGGCCCGACAGCAGACUGAGGUGGCGCGCCGACAGGAGGCGCGGAUGAAGCGCCUGGAGGACCUUUUACUGCAGCAGGCAGCAGCUUCUCGGGAGACUCAGGCCCCUACACCACCAGCACCAGUUAUGGACGUUGCACCGAGAGCGCCGUCCCCCGCGCCCAGUUCUUCGCGUGCGGCGCCUGUGGCCGCACCCCAGGAGGAGGUUUUGGUGGCACCACCUGUGCAGAGGCCCCCGGUUGGAGCUGCAUUCCCUACCUUGGUUGACUGAUGGAGCGCCUCAAUGAGUUCAGGAGGUGCAGUCCCCGAGUCUUCGACGGCGAGAAGGUCAACCACUGGAUCGUGGAGAAGUGGUUGAUGCAUAUCGAGAAGCUCUUUCGCGACACCUUCGUGGAGGAGAGGGAUCGAGUUUGGCUCGCCACUCACCACUUGGACGGCGAGGCCUACCGCUGGUGGUUGGAUCUCCAGGAGCACCCCAGCACUGACUUGGCGGCAAUCACUUGGGCGAGGUUCAAGGAACUUCUUUUGACCCAUUACUUCCCGACUAGCGUCAAGCGGAAGAUGGGGCAGGACUUGCGCAGCUUGCGCCAGGGAGAUCGGACCGUAGCCGAGUACGAGCGGGAGUUUUCUCGGCUUCUGCAUUGCGUGCCUUUCGUCGUGCGGGACGACGAGAACAAGGCCUGCAUCUUCGAGCGAGAAUUGAGACCGUCUAUCUUUCGAUUCGUGCAAUCCUCUAACCUCCAAACCUACCGGGAGGUGGUGGAUCGCGCGCUCAUUGUGGAGAGCGGCGCAGCGGAUAUCCAGGAGCAGCGAGAGGCUAGGGACAAGGGGAAGGCCAAGAGGCCUGCGGCUGAGGGUGCGAGCCAGGCGCACUCUAGGAGGCCGCCGAAGCAUCCUAGGAGCCAGCAGCGUGGACGCGACCCAGCAGCUUACCGUGGAGGUUCUGACCGACGCCGACCUCCCCAAUGUGUGAUCUGUGGUGGUCCUCACGUUCCACCACAGUGUCCUCAGCGGGGAGGGAGGUGUUUCUUGUGUGGCCAGGAGGGCCACUUUCGGACCGAGUGCACGAGGAGUUCGUCACCAGCACCAUCUUCUGCAUCAGCACCGGCUCUACCAGCCGCCAGCCAGGGGGCUCCAUCAGCGCAGUACCAGCAGGGGCGGCCACCCGUCCAGCGCCAGAGCGAGGGAUCUCGUCAAUCCUCGAGCGGGCGCAUGUACGCCGCUCAGACCGAGGAGGCGGCAGCAGCCGAGGAUGUGGUUGCAGGUAUCAUUUUACUUGAUGGCAUUAAAGUUCGUGCUUUAUUUGAUACCGGUGCAUCGCAUUCAUUCAUAGAUCGACUGUUUGCCGAGUUGCAUGACAUUCCAUUGGUUUCUUUGUUGCGACCGGGACAUGUUGUAGUACCCGACCAUAUUUUGGAUAUUAGAGAGUAUAGCCCCAGUUGCCCUGUUCGGGUAGGAGAUUGGAUCAUGCCGAUAGAUUUGCUAGCUUUGCGCAAGCUGGAGGAUUUUGACGUGGUCUUGGGCAUGGAUUGGUUGGCUAAAUAUUAUGCCACGAUUGAUUGCAAGAAUCGCACGGUUACUUUUAGAGAAUCGGGGUAGACCGAGGUGGUAUUUAGUGGAUACCGGAGUUCGCUGUUUGCGAUGACGAUCAGCUCAUCUCGAGCUAGGCAGCUGAUCAGCAGAGGUUGUGUAGCCUAUUUAGCUAGUGUUGUGCUGAGGGGCGAGGAUGACACCCUUAGGAUCGAGGAUAUCCCGAUGGUGCGGGAGUUCCAGGAUGUGUUUCCAGCUGAGCUACCGGGUAUGCCUCCUGAUAGGGAGAUUGAGUUUGUGGUAGAUCUCGUCCCUGGGAUUACUCCAAUCUCGAAAGCACCCUAUAGGAUGGCACCGGCGGAGCUGAAGGAGCUGAGGGCACAACUACAGGAUCAGCUAGAUAAAGGCUUCAUUCGACCGAGCGUCUCGCCUUGGGGAGCACCAGUUUUGUUCGUCAAGAAGAAAGACGGAUCACUUCGCCUUUGUGUGGAUUAUCGUGAACUCAGCAAAGUCACGAUCAAGAACAAGUAUCCGUUGCCGAGGAUUGACGACUUGUUUGAUCAGCUUCAGGGAUCGUGUGUGUAUUUCAAGAUAGACUUGCAGUCUGGAUACCACCAAUUGAAGAUUAAACCCGAGGAUGUAUCGAAGACGGCUUUUAGAACACGGUAUGGACAUUACGAGUUCACAGUUAUGCCGUUCGGGCUUACUAAUGCCCCGGCGGCUUUUAUGGAUCUAAUGAACCGUGUUUUCAAGCCUUAUCUAGACAGGUUCAUCGUGGUGUUCAUUGACGACAUUUUGGUCUACUCCCGAAGCGACGCGGAUCACGAGGAGCAUUUGAGAAUUGUUGUCACGCCCCGGGACCGGCGGAGGCCCUCCCGGUAGCGUGCCCAGACCCGCCAUAUGUCUACACAUAUAAGGCGUCUAUAAGAAAAGCGGAAGUAAAAGCAAGAGAUGGAACAAUUAAGAGAAGUGAAAUAACAAGCAACUAAUAAUAUCAGAGCGAGUAAAGUUCUAACAUCUAUACUCAUGGUAAUAGAACAUAACUAAUACGUAAAAGUAAACAUAAGAUAUACAGUAUCAGCCUCUAAUACAAAAAUAGUGGUCUCUAGUACACUAGUAAAACUCUCAACCUCUCCAAAAUAAAGUACAACGAGAGGUAGACCACCUAGCAAGUCGCCCUCGAAGGAAGCUAGCUCGAAACAACUCCCUUCCCGCGGUUCCGGGCCUCACCCUGAGUGGAAGGCUCUGAAAAACAUCGAGAAAAAGAGGGCAUGAGAACUAUAAUUUAUAGUUCCCAGUGGGCAAUUACUGACCUCAGCUCAUGCUCCACUAGGCCCCAAAAAUAAGGGUAAGCAACGAUAAUAAUAAUAAGCAAUAAGGAGCAUGUAAAUAAACUGCUGAAAGAAAGCAUAAUUGAAAUGCUAGUCUACUGUGUCUCAAGUAAGCAUGAUGUCAACCAAAAUGUACAUCUAUUCUAUCAUUACAAUUAAGUCCAAUGGCACUAGUUUAAUGUUGUUAACCUUUGUCAAUACAUGAUGUAGAAGUUCUAUCAUGGCAACCAAGUAUACUACAUGUCUCACACUAUGCUAAAAGCAUGUAAAUGUAAUCCAACUACUAAGCCUAUCUAGUAGUGAUCAUUCAUUCUCAAACCGUGUCGAUUUUCAUUUCCAAUUAAGGAUCUACCCAAGGUAGUCCGGCUUGUGCCGCCUAAGUGCCUGUGGUAGCCCGACAUUCCUACACAUGGAAUGUGUCUGUCCCACUCGACCCCGUAGGCGUCUCAAUACCGCACGAGCGAACAAAAGUCGCAUAGGCCAACUCCGGAGUGCCGGCUUGUGGGGAGCGACCCUCACAAGCAUGUGCGAAUGAGCACAAAUGGCAACCAAGCAAGGUCACUGUCUCAAGUACCCAAUCCUCAUGUCUCUAACAUGGUAUAGUCACUAGCAUCCCGAAGAUCUAGUUCAAAGUCAUAAUGUGAAGUCCCAACACACACUUGCUUAGUGCCUCUUUAUGACACUUAAGCUCCACAACUAAUCAUGUUCCAAUUAAGACAUUAACAUUAAUACUCACUAUGCCCCGGGCCCCAAUGCCUCUUCAUGACAUUGGCCCAAUCUCACAUAUCAUCUAAGUCCCUAAGCCUCUCUAGGCUUCCAAAAAUCCCUAAUGUCACAUCUGGUAUAUAGUUGAAUGCAUGAAAGCAAGGUUCGUUUUCAUAAUAGGGAUUAUAAUUUCAAGUCUCAACUAGAAUGCUAGGCCGCACAUGCAUGCUCUCUACUAUAAAGAGAUCCCAAAAUUUACUACACAUAACCUAUGCAUGUUAAGCAUUCUAAAAUUCAUAAUAAAUACAUUUAACAUGAAAAUGCAAGAAUUUCAACUUUACGAAACAUUUAACACCAAAUAUGAGCAUUUCUCAUAUUGUAUGCUAGGCCAAACCCACCGAACCGUCGCGUGCUCCUUCGAUUCGUCGAACGGAGUUGUCCACGAGCCUCAAGAUACCCUAAAAGUGAUCAGCGAAGAGAUACGAGAGUAUUACGACCAACCAUGAGAUCAAACAUCAAUCUAGAAGCAAAAAGGGCCAAAAUUCACCUCAAGAGAAGAAAUCUCUUCUAAAGCUCCAAAAGAGAGCUAGAACCCUUCCAAUCCAAGCUCAAGGAAGGUUCUAAUCUAAUCCAUCUAGCCCCACAAGCCCUAAAUCAAAAAGCCCCAAAAUCAACCCUAAAUCUCAUUUCUAGGGUUCCACCUAUUAAAAAUCCUCAAAUCAAGGUCUAGAGGAAGGGAAAGAGCAACUAACCUCCUUAGGAGCUCCAAUCCAAGCUCCAAGGGUGAAGAUCUCCCUCCUUGCAAGCUCCAAGUCCAAGCCUUCAAGCACCAAAGAAGAUGAAAGGGUGAGGAAGAUGCUCCAAGUCCACUAGUAGCUCCAAACUUCUUCUCCUUCCCUCCUUCCUCUCCUUCUCCUUCUUCUUCUUCUUCUCUAUCAAGAGUGUAGAGAGGGUUGAGAGAAGAGAAAUGGGGAGAAGAGAGAGUGGAGGGGUCAUAUAGACCCUCUAUUGUAACAAAAUCCCAAGAGGCCCCUCAAAAAUCCAAUAUUGCAUCAGCCCGGUCUGGGCAGUUUUCGCCCAGAGGGACCGGUCUCUCCCCAGCAAGGACCGGUCUCUCGCUGCGAACCCGAAAAACCAUCGUUCGGGAACCGGUCUCUCCCUGCGUGGGACCGGUCUCUCUCUGCGAAGGCGCGCUCGGGGACCGGUCUCGCCCGCCAGGGACCGGUUGCCUCAGGGCUGCCGUAACACUGUUCACUAGGGGACCGGUCUCUCCUUCCAGGGACCGGUCCCCGAGAGUCAAAACUCUCAGGACUUGUCCAGAAUUCCAGUUUUUGAACUUUUUAGGUAGGAAAACAUUCUACAACCCUCCACCAAGUGUGGGAAAGCUCGACAUACAUCCAAACAAUCGAACCUCGUAAUUUGCAAAGGUCCAGUGUGUUACAAUUGUACUCCAAGUACUUCGGGAAAAGGAGCUCUAUGCCAAGUUGAAGAAGUGUGAAUUUUGGCUUCGAGAAGUAGCUUUCCUUGGACACUUGAUUUCAGGAUCAGGUAUAGUCGUGGAUCCCAAGAAAAUUGAAGCAAUGAAGGAUUGGCUGAGACCGAUGAGCGUCACGGAGAUACGGAGCUUCCUUGGAUUGGCCGGUUACUACCGGAGAUUUGUCGAGGGGUUCGCCAAGUUGUCUACUCCCCUCACGAGGCUCAUGCAUAAAGGAGUCAGGUUCAUUUGGACUGAUGCGUGCGAGAGAAGCUUCCAAGAGUUGAAGCAACGAUUGACUACCGCCCCGAUCCUGACCCUACGAGUAGCUGGAGCAGGGUAUGUGGUAUAUAGUGAUGCUUCACUUAAUGGAUUGGGUUGUGUAUUGAUGCAGGAUGGCAAGGUGAUCGCGUAUGCUUCUUGCCAACUGAAGGAAUAUGAAAAGAACUACCCAACACAUGAUUUGGAGUUGGCGGCCGUAGUGUUCGCAUUGAAGCUAUGGCGCCACUAUCUUUAUGGCGAGCGGUGUGAAGUAUACACGGAUCACAAGAAUUUAAAGUACCUGUUUACUCAGAAGGAGUUGAACUUGAGACAGCGCAGAUGGUUGGAGCUACUCAAGGAUUAUGAUCUUACUAUUCUCUACCACCCGGGCAAGGCUAAUGUGGUUGCGGAUGCGCUAAGUAGGAAAUCGAUGAAAAACUUAGCAAUGCAUGUCGUGACUCAACCGCAGUUGAUCGAGCAGAUGAAGCGGUUAGAGUUGGAGGUGGUGACUCCUGACACGCCCUUGAGGUUGAUGACGUUAGUAGCGCAACCUACCUUACUGGAUAGAAUUAAAGAAAAGCAAGUCUCCGAUGUGGGAUUACAAAAGAUUAGAGGAAAAAUGAUUGAUGGUUGCACCGGCGAUUUCCUUGUGGACGACCAAGGGUUGAUGCGUUUUCGGGGACGACUUUGCGUUCCGGCAAAUUUGGAAAUUAAAGAAGACAUUUUUCAAGAAGCGCAUCGAGCACCCUAUGCUGUCCAUCCGGGAGGCACCAAGAUGUACAAGGACUUGAAGAUGUUUUAUUGGUAGCCCGGGAUGAAGAAGGAUGUCGGUGAGUUUAUUGCUAGAUGCUUAACUUGCCAACAAGUUAAGGCUGAGCACCGAGUUCCCGCGGGAAAACUUCAGAGUUUGCCUAUUCCCGUGUGGAAGUGGGAGAUGAUCACCAUGGACUUUGUGACUGGAUUGCCUCACUCACAGGAUGGGCACGAUACUAUUUGGGUGAUCGUGGAUAAGUUGACGAAGUCGGCCACUUCAUACCUAUCCAUACGACUUGGACCGGGGAGAAGCUCGCACAAGUGUACCUUGAUGAGAUCGUGCAGCUUCACGGAGUGCCUACUUCGAUUGUAUCAGAUCGAGACACCCGGUUUGUGUCUCACUUUUGGAGGAGUCUGCAGGACGCCCUUAGCACUCGUUUGGAUUUCAGCACUGCUUUCCACCCGCAGAAUGAUGGGCAGUCGAAGCGCACUAUUCAGACUUUAGAGGAUAUACUCUGAGCAUGUGUGAUUGACUUUUAGGGAGGAUGGUCGCAGCAUCUACCUAUGACGGAGUUUGCUUAUAACAACAGUUAUCAAGCAAGCAUCAAGAUGGCGCCCUUCGAAGCACUUUAUGGACGGAAGUGUAGAUCGCCCCUUCAUUGGAGUGAAGUGGGCGAGAGAUUGGCUUUAGGCCCUGAUGUACUUCAAGAAGCUGAGGACAAGGUUUGCAUUGCCCGGGAGCGACUUUUGACGACGCAGAGCAGACAAAGGAGCUAUGCUGACCGACGGCAAUGAGACUUGGAGUUCCAAGUUGGAGACCAUGUUUUCUUGAAGGUCUCGCCGACUAGAGGAAUCAAGAGAUUCGGGAUUCGGGGAAAGUUGAGCCCCCGUUUCAUUGGACCGUAUGAGAUUUUGGAGCGUAUAGGCCCGGUAGCGUAUCGACUUGCCCUACCGCCGAAUCUAUCGGGCGUACACAAUGUCUUCCAUGUAUCGGUCCUGCGGAAGUAUAUUCAUGACCCAGCUCACGUUUUAGAGGCUAUACCAGUGGAGCUGCGUGAGGAUUUGAGCUUCGAGGAGCAACCAGUGAAGAUUUUGGCUCGCGAGGUGAAGAAGCUGCGGAAUCGAAAAAUUCCGUAUGUGAAGAUUCUUUGGAGCAACCACGGGGAGCGAGAGGCCACGUGGGAGCUUGAGAGCCCCUUGCUGGAGCGCUAUCCCCAUCUUUUUCAGAUGGAGUAUUGAGGUACGUUACUUUCGAGUUUCGCAGACGAAACUUCUCUUUAGGAGGGGUGAAUGUAACGCACUGGACCUUGCAAAUUGCGGGGUUCGAGUGAUUGAUUGUGUUCUGAGCUUUUCCAGACUUUCUGGGGGGUCGUUGACAGUGUUCCGACCUAUGGUUCGAGCCCCGAGAAUGGAGGUUUUAAGCUUGGCACCAAAAUCUGAAAAGUCGGAUUUUUUGGUCAGCUCUCGGGUAGUCAUCAGCUGGCCGUGUACCGGUACGGGAUUGCUUGCUGUAUCGGUACGGGGUUGAUGGCUGUACCGGUACGAGCUCGUGUACCGGUACACAGAGCACUUCCCAGAUAACCCGAGGCUCGGGUUUGACAUUUUUGUGGGUUGUGUACCGGUACGCGGGCCCGUGUACCGGUACGCAAUGCAGUUUCUGAGCAGUUCGAACUGCAGGGGUGUUUUUGCGAUUGUGCCUAUUCUAUAUAGCACCCACGCCCCUUGGACCUCUCCCUGAGCUUGGAACAGCAGAGGAAGAGGUAGGGUUGCCCUCUCCACCACUCCAUUUGGUUUUGAUCCUCUUUUAGCUUAAGUUUUGGUGGAUUAAACCUCUCUUUUGUCCCUUUUGCUUGAUUGGAGGCUUUUCCACCAUUGGAGCUUGGACUAGGAGCUUGAUUGAGUAAGGAACUCCAACCCUAGAGCACUUGGAGCUUGGUUUGGAGCUUCUAAAGAGGUUAGUAACAUGUAUUUCCCUUUUGGUACAUGUUUUGUUGGAUUUUGCUUGAGGAAACCCUAGAUUUUGGAUUCUAGGGUUAGAAAUGGGGAUUUUCGAGUUAAGGCUUUUUGAUCUAGAUUGAUCUCAUUAGAACCUUCCUUUAGCUUGGUUUUGAAGGAUUCUUGCUUCCUCUUGGAGAUCAAGAGAGAUAUUCACCAUUUUCGGUGAGUAUUCCCCACCUUAGCUUCAAAAGCUUAAUGUUUGAGCUAUCUUUUGUUCGUGAGGUUUUUGUAACACUUGUUCCUACAUCCUUAGGGCACUAGGAGGCUAGUGGACACCUUCGUUCGACGAAAUGAAGAGUUCGAAAAAUUGGUGGGUUUGGCUUCAUGAUUCGGGGCAAAAUGGCCCCUAUGAGUAAAAUACUUGUCGUUUUGUGAAAGUAUAUGCAUAUUCAUGCUAGAUAGAAUUAUUAUGAAUCUUGGAAUACUUAAAAUGUAUGCCUUAUGUAUUAUAGAAUUUUCACUAUAUAGUAGAGCUAUAUGAGUAGAUUGCAUGCAUAUAGAAAAGUGUUUACAUUUGCGAGUUGAUAACAUAUCUCUUAUGAAGAUAAUGACUUGAAAUAUGUACCUUGGAACAUACUUAUUAUGCUUGGACCUAGAGGCCAAAGUGUCAUAAAGGGGCACUCGAAACUAGUAAACUAUGAAACGACAACAUAGAGACAUAUUGAUAGCCAUUGUACAUCUGCUAUAUUCCAUAUGAGAGACAUGAAGACAUAGAGAUAGGCCUUUGAGAUAUUCGAUUUACUCUAUGUUUUUAGACAUGAGGACUCGGUAUUUGAGACAGAUCAUUGCUUGCUUGCCAUUGUGCUCAUUCGCACAUGCUUGUGAGGGUCGCUCCCUACAAGUCGGCACUCCGGAGAUAGCCAUCGCGACAUAUGCUCGCCCGUGCGGGAUUGGGCGCCGAAAUGGGAUGCCGUGGGGGAGGCUCAUUCCUAGAGUGGGGAUGUUGACUACCACGGAGCCAUUAGGCACGGCGCAGGUCAGAUAGCCUUCGGGUGGGUCUUAUAUGAUUGGAACUUAGUGACGUGCUAUGUAAACUUUAAAACUAUUAAAGUGACAAGUGGACUUGGACUAGAAUGGUAAACAAUGACAUUUUACUAUUUAGCUUGUGGACAUCAUGAUAGUAGUAGGCUUAUACUUCAUAUACAGUUGCUUUUAUACUUAUACUACUCAUGCUAAGUAGAGAUAUCAUGUCGUAGUAAGUUAUAUUUUUACUUACAUUUCGCCUUAUUGCCUUUAUUGUUACUUACCCUUUUCUUUUCAAUUUUUGGGCCUAGUGGUGCAUUCACUGAAGUCAGUAAUCGCCCACUGGGAACUAUUAUUUAAUAGUUCUCACGCCCUCUGUUUGAUGUCUCUUUUUCAGAGCCCUCUGCACCGGCGGAGGCACGGGAUCGUGGCAAGGGGAUCGCUAGCUAGAUAGCGAGGACUUAUUUGCUUUCACCUAGGUGGUUUUCCUCUCUUUUUAUGUUGUGAGAUUGAGAGGUUUUGUAUCCACGUAUAGAGACCACCCAUGUAUUUACUUCUAGCACUUGUAUUUGGGUUUUCUCUUUGUAUUACUUUAUGUUUUUAUUUAGUGGUCUAUCGCUUAUGUUCUUUCCUGCAUUGUAGAACUUAGUCAUUUAUUAUGCUCUGAUACUCCUAAAUGUCUUUUAUUAUUGCUUUAUUUAUUGUUUUGUUUUAGACACCUUAUAUGUUUUAGACGUAUGCCCGGUCUGUGCACGUGCCGGGCGGGCUUCCGCUGAGGCCCGGGGCGUGACACACUUAUAGCCGUAGAAAACAUGCCAAAGUAGAAACAUCAAUUCUUUCACUUAAUGACAUAGUCAAAAGUCAGUAAGGGCAUCUAACAUAUAUAGGACGUCGUCUCAAAAUAAUGUCCAUACGAACUCACACGAUGAGGAAGUCAGGUCCAUCGCCCAUCUUCUUUAUUUGGUCGCCUAGCACAUGUAGUAUGAAAUACAUGCUAUAACAGAGAAUCUUAAUGAGCGUAUGUCUUUCUCAAUGUCAUAUAGAUCUUAUGUAAUGUACCGGAUUUUAAUAUAAAAGUAAAUAUAAAUAAAAAUAGUGUGAGAUACUAUUUUUAUUGGACUUGAAGAAGUAAAGUAUAAGUCGGAAAUGACUUAUGCUGAAAUCUGAAUAGAAAUAGAAGAUUUAUAAUUUUCUGUGAGAAACGGGACUGAUCUUUUAGCAGAAAAUUCACAGUGUCAGAAAAUUAUGAAAAUCUGGGAAUAUGUCGGGAUUAUUUUUAUGAGGCUAGAUUUAAAGUUUCAUGUGAUUCCAACACCCGGAAAGUGGAAAAUAAAAUCUAACUGCUAUCUGCUAGAGAUUUCAGUUCGGUAGAACUUUCGGGGACCAAAAAUGGUCGAAACUGAGAAGUUAAGAUAUCUUUCUUGUUGUUAAGUUAAACCGAGCCUGACUAUCAAAUUUGAGCGCAAACGGACAUUAAGAAGAGCUCCGGCGAAAAGUAUCGGAUUCUGAAAACUAAACUGAAAGUUGUAAUAGUGUUAUGUGGAAAGUGUUGGGUGCAAUUGUGCACAUAUGAGGAGUAUACGAAUGGGG